CACCGAGAAGCUAAACAGGACAUAGCGUUAGCCUUUUAAGCUAAAGAUUGGUGCUUUCCAACCACCCUCAGUGA
rnacentral:tRNA from 1 species